UCCGAGUUGACCCCGGCAGUCUUCCACGACAUUCCCGUGCAUGUCAAGCCUUGGUAAGGUUCUUCGCGUCGCGUCGAAUUAAACAACAUGCUCCGCUGCUUGUGCGGGCCCCCGUCAAUUCCUUUGAGUUUUAGCCUUGCGGCCGUACUCCCCAGGCGGGGUGCUUAAUGCGUUAGCUUCGGCACGGAGGGAGUCGACACCCCCCACACCUAGCACCCAUCGUUUACGGCGUGGACUAC
rnacentral:misc_RNA from 1 species